CCUACGGGAGGCAGCAGUAGGGAAUAUUGGGCAAUGGGCGCAAGCCUGACCCAGCGACGCCGCGUGAGGGAUGAAGGUCUUCGGAUUGUAAACCUCUUUCAGUAGGGAAGAAGCGAAAGUGACGGUAC
rnacentral:rRNA from 1 species